AACAAAAUAAAACUGAUGCUAUACUCUACUUAUCCACUAGUGGGCAGUUAUAGUGAAUCACAGUCUUGCAAUGCAAGAGUUCAAGAAUAGUAUAGUGUUAUCCUUCAUAUUUCUAAAGACUUUUCAUGUGUCAAAUCCUUCUGACGAGAGCGAAGAGCUGUCAGUUUUAUGUAUGCUGAGAUUGUGUCUGGUUUGGAAUCUGCAGGGUGUUUUGUGGGUGUAUCAUGUCUGGUGUCUGCUUCUGGAGGGUAGUUUUUCAGUGGCUAGCACAGAAGGGCACACCAGCAUCCAGAUGGCUACUGUUGCAGCAUUUAUGAAGUGCAAAAUAUCUACCUACACAUGCUCCAGUCAGCGGCAGUCUGGAUUGUGAUGAUGCAUGAGAUAUCUGGAGUGUCUCAUUAAUAUCCCUCUCCAGAGGCAGAGGAUCAACACAGAUGGGACAUUUAGAUAUUCACAAUCAAUACAACAAUCAGUUUGCAGAGCAAGAACAUCUAAAUCCAGUAUUGGUGCUGUAUGGAAAAGUGCUGCAGUAUGGAUUCAUUCAUAUUAAGGCUGUUGAGGGCUCCCAUAUCCUCAUCGCCUGUGGUAUUGAUCCUGGACUCACCUCAAGUCAUGCUGGAUGUGAUGGACAGUGGGCUAUCUGUAUGAUCUAAAUAUGGCUAUAACAACAACAGAGAUAAACGUAGUCAGACUGAUAUUAUGAAUUUAGCUAUUUCAGUCUGAAACUGAAUAACUUUAUACUUUUAGAAUGUGUUACAGUUUGAGAAUGACGCAUUUACACAAAUGGCUUUUGAUAGUUUCAAAUACUUCAGCAAGGUUAACAGACCCGUAUGGUGGAAUGAUAUCAUUUAUCUGACAUGCAAAUGAGGGAUAGAAAAUGCUCUGGUUAAACGCGGUGAUUGAGGUCACGGGGAUCGCACAUGGAUUUGGCGGAUGGGUUGGAGACAGGCCCUUUCUCCGCCUGCACUCCCUAGAAAUAGCGCUCUCUCUUUUGGGGUUCGGCGCUGCGGCCUCUCCCCACUUUGAGUGAGAGCUUGAUCGUUGUAGCUAUCUUUCGCCGAGGAGAUUGAUAUUGUUUGCAUAUGAGCAGACUGCUUUUGGGUCACUCGUUCUCCCUGCCCUCUGUAAAUAAGGGGUGGGGAUGCACGCGAUUUAUUAUGUGUAGUCUGUUUUACUACGAUAACCAUGGUCAAUUUUGGUAAGGGUUGUGAUGUCCACAUGUUUUUGUUGGAGAAAUUAAAGAGGCUGUAGCAUUUCUAUCCAAAAAAGGUGGCCAAAAAUUUUAAAUUAAGUGGAUAUUUGAAUGUUUGGUCAAUAUUAAACAAGGAUGUAAGUGCAAUAACAGCAAUUAUCAGGCCUUUGGUGCCCUUUGCAGGCAUUUGUAAUAAUGUUAAUUGUUUAUUUUGUAUUAUUGUAUUAUUGUAUUAUUAAUUAACCAAUUGCCUCGUUGUUUUAUAUAAUACAUUUUAAGUCAUGGAAACUAGAAUAUUAAGUCAGAUGCGUUGGUGGUGGUGGUGAAAUUAUUACCGACAUUACCGAAAGGGAUACUACACCCCAAAAUAAAUUUUUUGUCAUUAAUCACUUACCCCCAUGUCGUUCCAAACCCGUAAAAGUUUCGUUCGUCUUUGGAACACAAUUUAAGAUAUUUUGGAUGAUUGUGUGUGUGUGCGUGUGUGUGUUAUAUUAUUCAUCAGGGACUGGAGAUGGGCCUCCCCUUUCUCCUCCCUCCCUCUCUAUACAGCAAGCUCUUGGGAUAAAUUCUCGUGUGAAAGCCUGGUGUUUACCUCUCUUCCUCCGAGGAUGUUGGGCGGGAGCAGCCUCAGCCAUGUUCUAGCUCCUCAUUCAGGGAGCGUCGCUUCUCAAACUCCCCAGAAUUUUGGAGUCAGAGUGGCGGUGCCGGGCUGAAGGCUUCUAGCAGAAGGCGUAUCUGUGGACGUUCAUUCUCACUGGAUAGUCUUCAGCUAAAACGUCCUGACGCCUAUAGCACCUUCUGAAGGCCGGCCAUGUCUGUCUCCUGCUUGGAUUGAGUCAAUCAUCACUGCAGUCGCAAGAGUGUGAGAAGGCCGGUCACUCACUGUCAAGCAGUUAAAAAAAUUGCUGGGUCUGAUGGCAGCUGUUUCCAACGUGAU
ensembl:lncRNA